GUAGUGCCCUAUGGGUCCUGGUCUAAAGUAGUGCCCUAUGGGUCCUGGUCUAAAGUAGUGUCCUAUGGGUCCUGGUCUAAAGUAGUGCCCUAUUGGUCCUGGUCUAAAGUAGUGCCCUAUGGGUCCUGGUCUAAAGUAGUGUCCUAUGGGUCCUGGUCUAAAGUAGUGUCCUAUGGGUCCUGGUCUAAAGUAGUGUCCUAUGGGUCCUGGUCUAAAGUAGUGUCCUAUGGGUCCUGGUCUAAAGUAGUGUCCUAUGGGUCCUGGUCUAAAGUAGUGCCCUAUGGGUCCUGGUCUAAAGUAGUGCCCUAUGGGUCCUGCUCUAAAGUAGUGCCCUAUGGUUCCUGGUCUAAAGUAGUGCCCUAUGGGUCCUGGUCUAAAGUAGUGCCCUAUGGGUCCUGGUCUAAAGUAGUGCCCUAUGGGUCCUGGUCUAAAGUAGUGCCCUAUGGGUCCUGGUCUAAAGUAGUGCCCUAUGGGUCCUGGUCUAAAGUAGUGCCCUAUGGGUCCUGGUCUGAAGUAGUUCCCUAUGGGUCCUGGUCUAAAGUAGUUCCCUAUGGGUCCUGGUCCAAAGUAGUGCCCUAUGGGUCCUGGUCUAAAGUAGUGCCCUAUGGGUCCUGGUCUAAAGUAGUGUCCUAUGGGUCCUGGUCUAAAGUAGUGUCCUAUGGGUCCUGGUCUAAAGUAGUGCCCUAUGGGUCCUGGUCUAAAGUAGUGCCCUAUGGGUCCUGGUCUAAAGUAGUGUCCUAUGGGUCCUGGUCUAAAGUAGUGCCCUAUGGGUCCUGGUCCAAAGUAGUGCCCUAUGGGUCCUGGUCUAAAGUAGUGCCCUAUGGGUCCUGGUCUAAAGUAGUGCCCUAUGGGUCCUGGUCUAAAGUAGUGCCCUAUGGGUCCUGGUCCAAAGUAGUGUCCUAUGGGUCCUGGUCUAAAGUAGUGCCCUAUGGGUCCUGGUCUAAAGUAGUGCCCUAUGGGUCCUGGUUCAAAGUAGUGUCCUAUGGAUCCUGGUCUAAAGUAGUGCCCUAUUCCCUAUGGGUCCUGGUCUAA
rnacentral:lncRNA from 1 species